rnacentral:rRNA from 1 species
CAGCAGCCGCGGUAAUACGAAGGGUGCAAGCGUUAAUCGGAAUUACUGGGCGUAAAGCGUGCGUAGGUGGUGGUUUAAGUCCGUUGUGAAAGCCCUGGGCUCAACCUGGGAAUUGCAGUGGAUACUGGAUCACUAGAGUGUGGUAGAGGAUAGUGGAAUUUCCGGUGUAGCAGUGAAAUGCGUAGAGAUCGGAAGGAACAUCUGUGGCGAAGGCGACUAUCUGGGCCAACACUGACACUGAGGCACGAAAGCGUGGGGAGCAAACAGGAUUAGAUACCCGAGUAGUCCCUGUCUCUUAUAC